UCUAAAGUCUAAAACGACUCUCGGCAACGGAUAUCUCGGCUCUCGCAUCGAUGAAGAACGUAGCGAAAUGCGAUACUUGGUGUGAAUUGCAGAAUCCCGUGAACCAUCGAGUCUUUGAACGCAAGUUGCGCCCCAAGCCUUCUGGCCGAGGGCACGUCUGCCUGGG
rnacentral:rRNA from 11 species